UACGUAGGGUGCGAGCGUUGUCCGGAAUUACUGGGCGUAAAGAGCUCGUAGGUGGUUUGUCGCGUUGUUCGUGAAAACCUGAGGCUUAACCUUGGGCGUGCGGGCGAUACGGGCAGACUGGAGUACUGCAGGGGAGACUGGAAUUCCUGGUGUAGCGGUGGAAUGCGCAGAUAUCAGGAGGAACACCGGUGGCGAAGGCGGGUCUCUGGGCAGUAACUGACGCUGAGGAGCGAAAGCGUGGGGAGCAAACGGG
rnacentral:rRNA from 1 species